UCCGACUUAACGUCGGCAGUCUCGCCAGAGUGCUCGCCAUGACGCGUUAGCAACUGACGACAAGGGUUGCGCUCGUUGCGGGACUUAACCCAACAUCUCACGAUAUGAGCUGACGACAGUCAUGCAGUAUCUUCUCACCGGUUCCCCGAAGGGCACCCCUCCAUCUCUGGAAGGUUCCGGUGGAUUUAACCCAGGUAAGGUUCUGCGCGUUGCGUCGAAUUAAACCACAUGCUCCACCGCUUGUGCAGGCCCCCGUCAAUUUCUUUGAGUUUUAACCUUGCGGCCGUACUCCCCAGGCGGAGAACUUAACGCGUUAGCUACGACACCGAGAGGCAGACCCUCCCGACAUCCAGUUCUCAUCGUUUAUGGCGUGGACUAC
rnacentral:misc_RNA from 1 species